AUGAAAUCUUACUGGAGUGUUUGCCAAUGCCGACUCCAAAGGAUAGGCUGCCAUGAUGGAAACUUAAUAAGGGCUUUCUCCCCAACACUGGAAAGGACAGGAAAUAAGAACUCUGCAACUACGUUCCUCUUCUCCAAUACAGGUAGAGUAGCUUUGCUUUUUAGCUAUGUUUCAAAUUGGGCUCACCUCUAAGGUUUUUUGUAUAGGAAGGGUUUCCCUGGUUAAAACAAAAACUAAAAACUAGCAGUGUAGCAGAAAGAUCCCUAGUCUUAGAAUACAGAAAUAAUGAGAGGGCUAGGGAUUGUAUUCAGUAACAACAAAGACUUUCCCAUUCUAAAUAUUUAAGACCAAUAGAAAAAGUCUGCUGUCUGCUACCAAAUACUCUUUAACUCCAGCAUGAAAAAUGUACUGUGCAUUUUCUCUGAACUUAGCCAUAUGAUUUUUUAAAGCACAGACCUGCUCUGAAGUGAGGCAGUCACCUCGGAGACUGCGAAAACCUCUCCACAUUUUGAUUUCUUCAUCAGAAAACCCUUGGGGAGGGAGAUAUAAUGUCUUCUUCCUGGGGGUCUCUUGAGAAUGAAGUGAGAUCCUCCUCAUGGGACUGACUGAGCCAAGUUCAGUGGUCAGUCUGCACUUGGUAGUUCUUAGCAUCCCUCCUUCUCCCCAAAAAGAUAGACUCUGAAACCUGUAUUUAUUCCCUUGUAUGGGACAAAAAGAAGGGGGGACAAGCACAUGUUUUUCACUGGUUAUAGCACAGCCAUUUAUCCCAAGAGGAUGAAGCCAGUCACUACAAUACACAGGCAUGGAUUUGAGCUCUCCCCCUCUGUUCUCUGCUCUCCAUAUUCAAUGUGAGUGAAGAAGGCUUUAGAGAGGCUACAGGAAACAUCCUUAUGCUCAUCCUCUGGCAUUGGACAGGCCCCUUUCUCCCAAGCAUCUGUCUCAGAUUCUCUUGUCACUUAUUUCCUCCCCUGAGCACAACCUACCCCCACUCCUUCACACUGUUGAAACGAUUUUCUGUUCUUUAAGAGGAUUCCAGAAUGCUUGGUUAAAGUUGUAAAACCCAGUAAAAGUGAGUCUUUCAUAAUGGAAAAGCUAACAUUCAUUCAAUCAACCGACAGUGAGUGCCUGCCUGCCAGGGCCAGACACUGCUGGUCAUCAGGACACAGCGUGUGAUAAGUCAACAUAAAACUGCGUGACGUCAGCCUGCUCCUGUUAUUCCCAGACAUCGCUGAGUCAGUGGCAACAUUCGCAGUGUUUCAUUCAAUGCCUAUUGAGAAGAAAACCACAUUUGACAACAUUUUUAAAAAGCCAAACCCAGAAUUCCAGAAUUGUUGCCAGCGGAGCUGAUGGAAACAGGGUCCAAGGAGCUGGCUGGCUGGCCACAACGGCGAUGCACUCAGAUGGCUGGAGCCAACUCUCGGCAGCCUACAUUAUGGCCACACAGUUCCACUAGGACCUGAUAAAAAGGCAUGUCCAACUCCCAGAUUUUGACUCAUUCUUUAUUUAGGUGUGGAAACCUAACAAAAUAAAUGAUUAAAUAAUAACA
rnacentral:lncRNA from 1 species